UCCCAUUAAUUCUUAAUAGACUUACACAUGCAAGCAUCCACAUCCCAGUGAAAAUGCCCUCCAAGUUAAUAAGACUAAGA
rnacentral:rRNA from 1 species